GAUUUGGUCAACGGAAAGCACUUUCUGAUCAACACAAAUGUUAUGUUUUAUUUUAGGAAAACGAAUUCCUCUCUCUCAAAAGGUGAAAACACUUUCCCUUUUCAUUUUUUCCCUCUGACCUUUCACUUUUCCUCUUCGUAAGCCGCUCUCUCCCUUCGCUUCUUUCGCUCGUCUUUCUUCUUCAGCUCUUCUUCAACGACGCGUGUCUUAUCACCAUUGAAGGUCCAGAUCUUCUUCUUCAUCAUUGAAGGUCUGGCUCUUCUUCAACGACACUCAACACGGUUCUAGCAAUUGAAGGAAAACGCCCCGCAAAGCCUCUCUCAAUCCUCUGCGUAUUCCAGAAGCUUCUGCCCCGCUGAUCGGUGCCAGAAUCCGCUGCUCACCUUGCCACAUCCAGUGCUCUUCUGAUCACGAUGUUCUCGCGCGCUUGAGGUUCGAAUCCGUGUGCUCCAUCAAACCUUCGACAACUUGGAGCCUUGGAGCUUUCGGUUUUCAUUGAGCGUGUAAGUUUAGUACAUUCUUCCAUUACGCAUAUGGAAGAUAAACCGAGAGCUUUGUUGUUGUUAGCAUGAACAUCGGUCACGCCCGAGAUUAUAUUAGUAGCUUUCGAUUUAGUCUUGAUGAUCUCGUAUUGAUUGGGCUGCGGUUCUCACUAUCUUGUUGUUUCCUUGUGCCGUUUAAUCGAAUGCACGUAAAGUGUUUGGUGAAA